rnacentral:rRNA from 1 species
CGGGAAUUUUGGGCAAUGGGCGAAAGCCUGACCCAGCAACGCCGCGUGAGGGAUGAAGUAUUUCGGUAUGUAAACCUCGAAAGAAUGGGAAGAAUAAAUGACGGUACCAUUUAUAAGCUCCGGCUAACUACGUGCCAGCAGCCGCGGUAAUACGUAGGGAGCAAGCGUUGUUCGGAUUUACUGGGCGUAAAGGGCGCGUAGGCGGCGCGGUAAGUCACUUGUGAAAUCUCUGAGCUUAACUCAGAACGGCCAAGUGAUACUGCUGUGCUAGAGUGCGGAAGAGGCAACCGGAAUUCUUGGUGUAGCGGUGAAAUGCGUAGAUAUCAAGAGGAACACCUGAGGCGAAGGCGGGUUGCUGGGCCGACACUGACGCUGAUGCGCGAAAGCCAGGGGAGCAAACG